GACGCUUUGGCCGAGUGGUUAAGGCGUGUCCCUGCUAAGUACGUGGGGUUCCCCCGCGAGAGAUCGAAUCUCUCGGGCGUCG
rnacentral:tRNA from 1 species